GGGGAGAUCACCAAUGUCAUGGAGUACCAGGCCAUCGCGAAGCAGAAGCUUCCGAAGAUGAUCUACGACUACUACGCCUCUGGAGCUGAGGAUGAGUGGACUCUCAAGGAGAACAGGGAGGCAUUCUCCAGGAUCUUGUUUCGUCCCCGCAUCCUGAUCGAUGUCUCAAAGAUCGACAUGUCCGCAACUGUUCUUGGGUUCAAGAUAUCAAUGCCCAUAAUGAUUGCUCCCAGUGCCAUGCAGAAGAUGGCUCACCCUGACGGAGAGUAUGCAAC
rnacentral:misc_RNA from 1 species